AGUGAACGCUGGCGGUAGGCCUAACACAUGCAAGUCGAACGGCAGCACAGUAAGAGCUUGCUCUUACGGGUGGCGAGUGGCGGACGGGUGAGGAAUACAUCGGAAUCUACUUUUUCGUGGGGGAUAACGUAGGGAAACUUACGCUAAUACCGCAUACGACCUACGGGUGAAAGCAGGGGAUCUUCGGACCUUGCGCGAUUGAAUGAGCCGAUGUCGGAUUAGCUAGUUGGGGGGGUAAAGGCCCACCAAGGCGACGAUCCGUAGCUGGUCGGAGAGGAUGAUCAGCCACACUGGAACUGAGACACGGUCCAGACUCCUACGGGAGGCAGCAGUGGGGAAUAUUGGACAAUGGGCGCAAGCCUGAUCCAGCCAUACCGCGUGGGUGAAGAAGGCCUUCGGGUUGUAAAGCCCUUUUGUUGGGAAAGAAAAGCAGCAGGUUAAUACCCCGCUGUUCUGACGGUACCCAAAGAAUAAGCACCGGCUAACUUCGUG
rnacentral:rRNA from 1 species